rnacentral:rRNA from 1 species
UGGGGGAUAUUGCACAAUGGGCGAAAGCCUGAUGCAGCGACGCCGCGUGGGGGAUGAAGGCUUUCGGGUUGUAAACCUCUUUCGCUAUCGAACAAGGCCCGCUUAGGGUGGGUUGAGGGUAGGUGGAGAAGAAGCGCCGGCUAACUACGUGCCAGCAGCCGCGGUAAUACGUAGGGCGCGAGCGUUGUCCGGAAUUAUUGGGCGUAAAGGGCUUGUAGGCGGCUUGUUGCGCCUGCUGUGAAAACGCGGGGCUUAACUUCGCGCGUGCAGUGGGUACGGGCAGGCUUGAGUGUGGUAGGGGUGACUGGAAUUCCAGGUGUAGCGGUGGAAUGCGCAGAUAUCUGGUGGAACACCGAUGGCGAAGGCAGGUCACUGGGCCAUUACUGACGCUGAGGAGCGACAGCAUGGGUAGCGAACAGG